GUGAGGAAUUUUCCGCAAUGGGCGAAAGCCUGACGGAGCAAUGCCGCGUGAAGGAUGAAGGCCUAUGGGUUGUAAACUUCUUUUCUUAGAGAAGAAUAUUGACGGUAUCUGAGGAAUAAGCACCGGCUAACUCCGUGCCAGCAGCCGCGGUAAUACGGAGGGUGCAAGCGUUAUCCGGAUUCACUGGGUUUAAAGGGUUCGUAGGCGGAUAAAUAAGUCAGUGGUGAAAUCAACUGGCUCAACCUGUUAACUGCCAUUGAUACUGUGUAUCUUGAAUAUGAGAGAGGUAGGCGGAAUGUUGCAUGUAGCGGUGAAAUGCUUAGAUAUGCUACGGAACACCGAUUGCGAAGGCAGCUUACUAUUUCGUAAUUGACGCUGAGGCACGAAAGCGUGGGUAGCGAACAGGAUUAGAAACCCUGGUAGUCC
rnacentral:rRNA from 1 species